rnacentral:rRNA from 1 species
AUAUGUAGGUGGCAAGCGUUGUCCGGAUUUAUUGGGCGUAAAGCGAGCGCAGGCGGUCUCUUAAGUCUGAUGUGAAAGCCCCCGGCUCAACCGGGGAGGGUCAUUGGAAACUGGGAGACUUGAGUGCAGAAGAGGAGAGUGGAAUUCCAUGUGUAGCGGUGAAAUGCGUAGAUAUAUGGAGGAACACCAGUGGCGAAGGCGGCUCUCUGGUCUGUAACUGACGCUGAGGCUCGAAAGCGUGGGGAGCAAACAGGAUUAGAUACCCUGGUAGUCCACGCCGUAAACGAUGAGUGCUAAGUGUUGGAGGGUUUCCGCCCUUCAGUGCUGCAGCUAACGCAUUAAGCACUCCGCCUGGGGAGUACGGCCGCAAGGCUGAAACUCAAAUGAAUUGACGGGG